AUCCACCAAAGCUCGCACUUCUUCUCAAAUUCUUUCUGUGCCGUUUCUAAGUCUGGUGGUUAGUUCUCUUUUCGUGUUUUAGCGGUCAUGUACUGUACUCGGAGGUCUUUGUUUACAGAUUUACUCAUGUUUUGAGUAGAAAGCGUGGGCCUUCUCUGUGCAUUUUUCUGUGAGGUAGAGUCGUUCUACUGUCCGAAGUUUUGCUGAUCCUUAUUGCACUGCAGUAUCGAUUGUGGAGAAGAGAUUAUCGCUGCAGUCCAGCGCAACACCGUGUGUUUUUGAAGGAUUGUAUGACCCCUAUUCUGAAUUCCGAAAGUAAAAUGUGGGAGAUGAUGAGACUUAUUCGCCUUGCCCAAAUGUAUCCUUGCGAUACAUCAUGUGGGUUGCGACUCACGAUUUGCACGUCAGUCUGAUCCCUUAGUCCUACGGUCUGAUCUCUUUAUGUUGCAAUGCGCAAGCGUGGAUGUGAUGAUGAGAAAUUGUCGCCCCAGUCCUACUCGGACGCGUAAUGCGUUUGGUGAGGAUUGACUAUUUAUCAGUCUGAUUCCUACACUGCCCUGGGAAUGGUGCUCACUCGAUGAACCGUAGAACGGUGGUUCUCCUUCAUCGUCGAGCCACUGUCACUCAUGUAGCUGACAUUUCUAGGAGAAUGUAAGCCGGCUGCCUUGAUCUGAAUGUAGACUUCGCACAUCUGUCACUGUCAAGGGUUGGAGAUUUACCUCCUCACAUUGACUCCUCCAAAAUUGUGCAAUAUCGACGCUGGUGCCUCGCCCCCAGAAUGUGACCUGUUGAUGAUGGUUCAUGUACGGGGUGAUCACUACAUUUCAAACACACAAUGCUAUUUCGUUUGUAUUUCCGUUCAUGCGUGAUUGAUACUAGAAUUUGUCCUGAAAGUGUGACUGUAGUUGAAAGUGGAAGUUCCCAUUGAUACUUUAUUUUGACUACUCUCUCAGUGAUCAAAACAUUAUCUCCUGGAAAAAACAGUAUUGCAUUUCCAAUCGCUCCCUCAAAACUACAGCAAAAAGUCAGGGAAACACCUAUAUAAAACCAACUGCUAUCGACAUUAUAUUUUAGAGUACUUGAAAAGAUCCCUUCGAACUAUAUGCUGGUAAGGCAGAACUUGCAAAUUUGCCAAAAGAAGGUGCGCAAUGUUUUUGUGGGCAGAAUUCGAUUCAACUCUUUAAAUGAAGACAAAGAAACACUUGACUACUGAACGAUAAAUCCUGAGCUGAACAUUGGUAAAAUAUAUUAAAUGUUGUUUCAUCUAUUGAUAAAGGACUCGUGGAAUUCACCAGAUGAAUGGAAGGCUCUGUAAGUGGCAUAUAAAUUUGUUAGAAACACGUACCAGGUGAACAUGUCCUCAAUCGAAAGGGGUAAGAGAAAGCCAAUCACCGUAAGUUUCGAGCAGUUUUGCUCGAGAAUGCGGUCGUCCUUGUGACGUUCUCGCACUACUAAAUCCAGCAAAAAUCAAUACGCAAUGUAACGGGUGGGUACAUGAAAUGAACUGAGUCUUGAGGUUGUGAGGUAUGGCGGUGUUGAGAAGCAGUGGAGGCGGCCAUGGUGUCUGAUUUGCAAAAAGCGGAAGGGUCAAGUCGAGAUGAUGGUUUCGUUGAUGGUUUCAUUGAUGGUAUGCUGCAUUGAGAUCAGCCUAAGCGGCUACUGCGGCAACUAAAGUGGAUGCUGCUAACCGAUAGCUGGAACCGAGGGUUUGAAUGUGCGCAAUGGUGCUCCUUUGUGUUAGCAGCGGACGCUUCGGAGCAAUGCAGCUAAUAUGCAGAACGGAUUGGAGACGAGGAUGAGUUGCAUAACAUUGAUAUUGCCAUCUGCAAUUUUCAGGAAGAAUCUAAUGCUUCGAAGCAGUAAUUUAGGCAAAGCCUUAUUCUUUGGGAAAAUUCUAAAAGCCAUGUGAAGAUUGAUGGGUGGAACAGGUGGUAUAAGUGCUGAUAGACCGCUAUUUCUGUUGACGAUGGACACAUUUAGUUGUCAAUCUGGUACUAUGCAGCGUAUUUUGUGUAGGAGGAAGCAUCCUGUUAGAUAAUGCAGGUCCACGAUUUUACUUUUAGAAUUCGCUCAACAAUUUCAGCAUCGUAUUUGUGCCGACUCUCCUAUCUCCAAGUCUGCUGUACAUUGCUGGACUAGACUAAAAUGUCUCUGCCCUUAACAGUCUCUCCCCUAAACCAACUCAAAGGGCUCCCAGGUUUCUUCGUUGAGUAAUUUCUUCCGUAGUUUUUUUUUUUUUUUUUUUUUUUUUUUUUUUAGAUUACCUUCAUGGUACUGCAGGCGCACUGGGAACACAGAUUUGUAUUUCUGGAGAAGUUAAUCAUUUUUUCACAUCCCAGUUAAGUGAAGUCAAUGUCAAGAAAGAAAGGCAGUGCAACUGAAUCUCUCAGCGAAAUGUGAGGUCUUUUCCUAAGAUCGGAAGUUAGGAAACUUUGGUUCGGUUCGGUGGGUAUUUUCAUGUCAUUAGUGUCAUUUUUGCACGCAUGAACUUCUCUUAGUUUCGUGCUGAAGGUUCUUCAUUUGAGAACACACUCGUGGGUGUUACUUCCCAACCUGAGUAAGCGAUUAAUUUAUGUAAGAUUGCCAGUGAUCUUCUUGACCUCUUCAAGAUUGGAUAUGCGACGUUGACAAACCUUAGCAUUGAGCAUGUACAUCUUGUUUGAGAGCUUCAGGUAUCCAACAGCAAAUAGUUGGCCUUGUCUGGGCAGGGGAUGAAAAGAGCUCGACCAUUGACAUUGGGAGGUACUCAAGCGCUGUCAUUUGAUAAACUUGAUCGCUUUUUGUGGUCUUUUUCUUCCCAUACCAGCGUAUCAUGAUCUUACUCCUCUAAAAUCAAUUACCACUACUGGUAAAGAAGUUGGCUACGUUUAUUCUCAUUGUAUUUGAUAUGACCGAGCUCUGGAGGUAAACAUUUAUGACCUCAAUGACCGAGGUCUGUUGAUUUCACUUUGCAUUCUAUGCGUCCUGCAAUGCUGAGUCAGCUAGUCAGAUGAGACUUUUGUUGGACUUCAGUAAUGGCAGUCUGUAUUGGCAGUGAAACAUUACCAAUAUUUUACUUCAUUUUCCUUGC